rnacentral:lncRNA from 1 species
GUUUUGACAUCAGACAUGAAAAUGCAGAGUUUGGAGUAUGUCCAGUUGAUUUUUGGUCUUGCUUUGGUCCAGUGUUUCCUUGCAAUACUCCUUUUCCUAUAUUUUUGAAUGGAUGUAGGACUCUCAGCUAACACUCCAGCACCAUGUCUGCCUGCAUGCUGCCAUGCUCCAAGACAUGGUGAUAAUGGUCUGUGCCUCUGAAACUCAGCAACAGCAGCAUCAUAAUCACUAUCGUCACCAUCAUCAUCAUCAUCAUCAUCAUCAUCACCAUCGUCAUCGGCAAUCAGCUGCACGGCUAGAGGAAAUCCAAUCACCAGGAGGAAUUUACAGGCCAUGAACUGUACACUCAGGACAUUGCUCAUCUGUCCAGGGUAUCCACCCAUGAGCUCACCCUGAAGAGCCAUCAGCAGGUGUGUUGCAGCACGUACUUCUGAUGUCCCAGACACGCACAGAGUUGUCCAUGGAAGCAGAGGCAACCAGACAACUGUCUGGGCUAAAGGCUGGAAGACCGGUCACAGCCCAGGACUUGCUAAAAACUGACUCAGUGAUUGCAAAAGAGCCCUCCCUUACCCCACACUCACCCAACACAGCCCUGCUGCACAAGACUCCAGUUGAGAGCUGUAUGCUCGGGCUUGAGGCCUCCUACCUCUAUGCAGGUACCUUGCUUUUGCAUCUCCCUCUUCCCAUUAGGGUUAUUACUGGAACAGUUGCAGAACUCCUCUGUAGCAGCUGUAGACAGUGUCUCCUGUGGCUACCCCUCGAGGGAAGUGGUGACAGGAACUAGGAAAGGAAGGGAUGAUCUAUCAGUCUUUCUUUCCAUAAAGAUAGAACUCGGAUUUUAUUAUUAUUAUUAUUAUUAUUAUUAUUAUUAUUAUUAUUAUUAUUAAUUAUUACUGAGGAGGAAACCUAGCACUGGCAGAGGUGUCUCUGCUUCUGUCUGCAGGUUUGACUCCUGGCACUGGCUACGAUACUUGGAAUUUUGAGGUCCAGGGAAUUCAGACUUUGGUAGCCCAUGUAUCAGGAGAAAGGGACACAUAUAAUGGGCUUCUGCAGGCAGGUAGCUUAACUGAACGUUGAGCUCUUGCAGUGAUGGGAGGAGAGAAAGAUUCUUUUACUGGCUGCACUCUGUCAGUACUUCUUUACCCUGGAAGAAAUAUUAUGGUGGGCAUUGGAUGGGCCUCAGCACUUGAUUCGGUUGUCCAAGGUUCCAUCCCUAGCACCAUCAACAAAAAUUAUGAUAAAGAAUAAUUUUGGAUAAUUCUCAAAAUAGACUUAAAAGCUGGAUUUGCAGAUGACUGUUUGUUCUGAGAUUCGGAUUUUUGGUGUCUUUUUCUCCUUCAAUGAUCUGCUUCCACCCCUCACUGCAGUAAAGUACCAGUAUAGUGGACACAGGAAUGAAUCAUGAGUGUGCACUCAUGAACAGCAAACCAUGCUCUAAGGACAAAGAAAGUUCUAAUGUGUGGAAAUGUUUUCUGAAAAGAAUUAUU